rnacentral:rRNA from 1 species
GUCGAGGGGCAGCACGAUGUAGCAAUACAUUGGUGGCGACCGGCGCACGGGUGAGUAACGCGUAUGCAACCUACCUAUCAGAGGGGAAUAACCCGGCGAAAGUCGGACUAAUACCGCAUAAAACAGGGGUUCCACAUGGAAAUAUUUGUUAAAGAAUUAUCGCUGAUAGAUGGGCAUGCGUUCCAUUAGAUAGUUGGUGAGGUAACGGCUCACCAAGUCCACGAUGGAUAGGGGUUCUGAGAGGAAGGUCCCCCACACUGGUACUGAGACACGGACCAGACUCCUACGGGAGGCAGCAGUGAGGAAUAUUGGUCAAUGGGCGAGAGCCUGAACCAGCCAAGUCGCGUGAAGGAUGAAGGAUCUAUGGUUUGUAAACUUCUUUUAUAUGGGAAUAAAGUGAGGAACGUGUUCCUUUUUGUAUGUACCAUAUGAAUAAGCAUCGGCUAACUCCGUGCCAGCAGCCGCGGUAAUACGGAGGAUGCGGGCGUUAUCCGGAUUUAUUGGGUUUAAAGGGUGCGUAGGUGGUUAAUUAAGUCAGCGGUGAAAGUUUGUGGCUCAACCGUAAAAUUGCCGUUGAAACUGGUUGACUUGAGUAUAUUUGAGGUAGGCGGAAUGCGUGGUGUAGCGGUGAAAUGCAUAGAUAUCACGCAGAACUCCGAUUGCGAAGGCAGCUUACUAAACUAUAACUGACACUGAAGCACGAAAGCGUGGGGAUCAAACAGGAUUAGAUACCCUGGUAGUCCACGCAGUAAACGAUGAUUACUAGCUGUUUGCGAUACACAGUAAGCGGCACAGCGAAAGCGUUAAGUAAUCCACCUGGGGAGUACG